rnacentral:lncRNA from 1 species
UUCCCUUCGUUGGAUGUAGCAAUAAUUUGUCAUUAACCUCCUUCUAAAGCAGCGAAGUGUCACAUUAAUUUUUCAGUUAAAAAUCUUCGUCCAUCUUUAUGUCAAGUCUACACCCUUCAAUACACUUGUCCUCCAUUGUGUGCUCUUAACCUCGCUCACUGUAACGCUGCGAAGUGUCACCUUCAUAUUGUUCCAGUUGCGUAAUUUCCACUGUUUCAGUCAAAUAUCUUCUUCCAAUCUUUUAAUUAAUCCUCUCUCGAUCUCCCAGCCGACACUCACCACCUGUCUUCAACUCUCAGCUGCCACGAUCACUCUUCAUUAUCCUAAAACCCUCAACUCCGUUAGCCACUUAACACCUGUUAUGCCUCGAAUUAGCCGUUCCAGCUUCUCCUUUCCCUAUAUAAAUCCGUACUUCCUGCAGCUCAUUCCAUCACAACAAACCAAACUUCAAUUUCUUGUGUCUUCAAUAGCCAAAGCAACUACAAUAUUCUAUUAGCUUUUUCUUCUUCAAGUUUUUUUUUUUUUUUUUUUGUGAAAGAGAUGGCACAAUACAACGAGGGAUACGGUAGCCAGGGGCAAAUGCGCCAGACUGAUGAAUAUGGAAACCGGGUCCAGGAAACUGGGGGCAUGGGCACUGGUGCCUAUGGAACUCAGGGUGGUACCGGUAUUGGGGGCAUGGGUGCUGGAGAAUAUGGAACCCAAGGCCAAGGUACUGGUAUGGGUAUGGGUGGUGGAGCCUAUGGAACUCAGGGUGGUACUGGAAUGGGGGCCAUGGGUGGAGAGUAUGGAACCCAAGGUACUGGAAUGGGUAUGGGUACUGGUGGUAUGCAUACUCAGCACCAUGAGGGCCAACAACAGCUUCGUCGAUCCGACAGCUCUAGCUCUG